UUCUGUGCCGCUGACUGGAGCGCAUGGAUAGUCCAUCUCGUGACCUCGUAGCCUUGCCCUGGUCACAUGCCACACGGCCGUCUCAGUCCAUGUCCUCAGGGAAGCAAAGCUCCUCCGUGGGGCCCAUCACUCCUUCAGCCUCAUGGCCUGUGGGACAACACAUGUUCUGCGGGACUUCUGAAACCUCGCCUUGUCCCAGCCCUCCCUCCCACUCACCAAAAGAAGCAGGAAAAGGGGGUCUGACUACAUUAUAGAGGAUAAAGUUAGGGGUCAGGGUGGAGAAGACAGCAGAGAGAGGCCCCAAUAAGUGUGUUAGGGACCAGGAAUUAAAAUUUAGAACAAAGGGCUCCUGGCUGACUUGGCUGGUGGAGCAUGUGACUCUUGAUCUUGGGGGUGUGAGUUCAAGCCCCACGUUGGGUCUGGAGGUUGCUUGAAAAAUCUUAAAAAUAAAUUAGGGUUAGGCGUUUACUAUGUGUCAGGCCCCAGGCUAAGAACUUUACUAUCCUUUGUCUCCUUUCAUCUUCAUGACAGCCCUGUGAGGAAGAUCGCUAUUGUGGAGAUACUGUUAUGGGGCUAAUAAUGAGUGUGUCAUUAUCUCCAUUUCACAUAUGAGGAAACUGAGGUCCAAAAAAGGAUACUCACGCCCUGGCCCCUUCACCUCAGGCUCAAACCACAGAUACCCAGCUCGGCGGCAGGGGCAUCCCAGGUGAGGCCUAGUUCUAGUUGCGGAGUGAGAUGAGACCACUGAGGGUCAGGGACAGGACUUGAUUGAAUAUGUGGCAACCUAGGAUCUGAGCCCCGGGUUUACUCGUCCUACGUGUGAAUGUUCAUGUAUGAAUGUUCCAGCCCCUACAACUACAAGGUACAGCUG